ACUAACAAGGAUUCCCCUAGUAACUGCGAGUGAAGCGGGAAAAGCUCAAAUUUAAAAUCUGGUGGUCUUUGGCCUCCGAGUUGUAAUUUAGAGAAGCGUUUUCCGCGCUGGACCGUGCACAAGUCUCCUGGAAUGGAGCGUCAUAGAGGGUGAGAAUCCCGUCUUUGGCAUGGACACACCAGGGCUUUUGUGAUGCGCUCUCGAAGAGUCGAGUUGUUUGGGAAUGCAGCUCAAAAUGGGUGGUGAACUCCAUCUAAAGCUAAAUAUUGGCGAGAGACCGAUAGCGAACAAGUACCGUGAGGGAAAGAUGAAAAGCACUUUGGAAAGAGAGUGAAACAGUACGUGAAAUUGUUGAAAGGGAAACGCUUGAAGUCAGUCGCGUCGACCGAGACUCAGCCUUGCCUCGGCUUGGUGUACUUCUCGGCUGACGGGUCAGCAUCAAUUUUGCCCCUUGGAUAAUGGCGAGGGAAAUGUGACACCUUUACGGUGUGUUAUAGUCUCUCGUCGCAUGCAAGGGUUGGGAUUGAGGAACUCAGCACGCACCUUUGGGUGUCGGGGCUUUGCCCACGAUACGUGCUCAGGAUGUUGGCGUAAUGGCUUUAAACGACCCGUCUUGAAACACGGACCAAGGAGUCUAACAUGCCUGCGAGUGUUCGGGUGGAAAACCCGUGCGCGCAAUGAAAGUGAAAGUUGGGACCUCUGUCGUGGAGGGCACCGACGCCCGGACCAGACCUUCUGUGACGGCUCUGCGGUAAAGCAUGUAUGUUAGGACCCGAAAGAUGGUGAACUAUGCCUGAAUAGGGUGAAGCCAGAGGAAACUCUGGUGGAGGCUCGUAGCGAUUCUGACGUGCAAAUCGAUCGUCAAAUUUGGGUAUAGGGGCGAAAGACUAAUCGAACCAU
rnacentral:rRNA from 1 species